GACGAACGCUGGCGGCGUGCUUAACACAUGCAAGUCGAACGGUGAAGCGCCUUCCUUUUUGGUGGGUGUGGAUGAGUGGCGAACGGGUGAGUAACACGUGAGUAACCUGCCCCCUUCUUCUGGAUAACCGCAUGAAAGUGUGGCUAAUACCGGAUAUUCUGGGUCUGUCGCAUGAUGGGUCUGGGAAAGAUCUUGUUUCGGUGGGGGAUGGGCUCGCGGCCUAUCAGCUUGGUGGUGGUGUGGUGGCCUACCAAGACGGUCACGGGUAGCUGGCCUGGGAGGGUGGACGGCCAUAGAACGACUGAGACGCGGCCAAGACUCCUACGGGAGGCAGCGGGGGGGAAUAGUGCACGAUGGGAGCAAGGCUGAUGCAGCGACGCCGCGGGAGAGAUGGAGGCCUUCGGGUUGUGAACCUCUUUCGCGAGUGAAGCAGGCCUGCCUAGUUUGUGGGUGGGUUGACGGUAGCUGGAGAAGAAGCGCCGGCUAACUACGUG
rnacentral:rRNA from 1 species